rnacentral:rRNA from 1 species
CCUACGGGAGGCAGCAGUGGGGAAUAUUGCACAAUGGGGGAAACCCUGAUGCAGCGACGCCGCGUGAAUGAAGAAGUAUUUCGGUAUGUAAAGCUCUAUCAGCAGGGAAGAAGCAAGACGGUACCUGACUAAGAAGCCCCGGCUAACUACGUGACAGCAGCCGCGGUAAUACGUAGGGGGCAAGCGUUAUCCGGAUUUACUGGGUGUAAAGGGAGCGUAGACGGUAUGUCAAGUCUGAAGUGAAAGCCCAGGGCUUAACCCUGGGACUGCUUUGGAAACUGUUAGACUAGUGUGCUGGAGAGGUAAGUGGAAUUCCUAGUGUAGCGGUGAAAUGCGUAGAUAUUA